CAAGUCGCACGAGAAAGUGGAGCAAUCCAUGAGUAAAGUGGCGUACGGGUGAGUAACACGUGGGUAAUCUACCUCUUAGUGGGGAAUAACCCUGGGAAACCGGGGCUAAUACCGCAUAAGCUCGAGAGAGGAAAGCAGCAAUGCGCUGAGAGAGGAGCCCGCGGCCGAUUAGCUAGUUGGUAGGGUAAGAGCCUACCAAGGCAGAGAUCGGUAGCCGGCCUGAGAGGGCACACGGCCACACUGGCACUGAAACACGGGCCAGACUCCUACGGGAGGCAGCAGUGGGGAAUCUUGCACAAUGGGGGAAACCCUGAUGCAGCGACGCCGCGUGAGCGAUGAAGCCCUUCGGGGUGUAAAGCUCUUUCGGCAGGGAAGAUGAUGACGGUACCUGCAGAAGCAGCUGCGGCUAACUACGUGCCAGCAGCCGCGGUAAUACGUAGGCAGCGAGCGUUGUUCGGAGUUACUGGGCGUAAAGGGUGUGUAGGCGGUUCUUUAAGUUUGGUGUGAAAUCUCCCGGCUCAACCGGGAGGGUGCGCCGAAUACUGAGGGACUUGGAGUGCGGGAGAGGAAAGUGGAAUUCCUGGUGUAGCGGUGAAAUGCGUAGAUAUCAGGAGGAACACCGGUGGUGUAGACGGCUUUCUGGACCGUAACUGACGCUGAGACACGAAAGCGUGGGUAGCAAACAGGAUUAGAUACCCUGGUAGUCCACGCCCUAAACGAUGCAUAUUUGGUGUGGGUCAUUCA
rnacentral:rRNA from 1 species